UAUCUGUACUACUCUAACCGUAUACAAUUACAGUGCUCUCACUUCUGGUAUUAGCAAUAAGAAUGAAACUUUCACAUGCGACAUUUAAUUACACCAUGAUGCGAUUCCCUUCACAUUAAUUUUACAACCUAGAAAUCAUUGUUAAUUUUCGUCGUUUAUUUUAUUUGGAUAAUAUAUUCGGCGGUAAAGGUUGUUUAUAUGGCAGGGUAACUUCGAACAUUAUUCGUUCGACAAAGUUACUCCAAUUUUUUGAAUGGCAUCGGGAGA